rnacentral:rRNA from 1 species
UGGUUUUGCUCAGGUAUCUUAGCGUGAAUACAUAGCGCUAAGAGGCGAACUCGGGGAACUGAAACAUCUAAGUACCCGAAGGAAAAGAAAUCAAUUGAGAUUCCGGCAGUAGCGGCGAGCGAACCCGGAGCAGCCCUUAAGCGGCUUAGGCGUUAGGUGAACAGGUUGGAAAACCUGGCAAUAAAGGGUGAUAGCCCCGUAACCGACAGCGCCUUAGUCGUGAAAUCGAGUAGGACGGGACACGUGAUAUCUUGUCUGAACAUGGGGGGACCAUCCUCCAAGGCUAAAUACUCCUGACUGACCGAUAGUGAACCAGUACCGUGAGGGAAAGGCGAAAAGAACCCCUGUGAGGGGAGUGAAAUAGAACCUGAAACCGUCUACGUACAAGCAGUGGGAGCCCCAUCACUAAGACACCUUAUCUUAGUGAGACGCUAUCACUUUGUUGAUUGGGUUAACCACGCGAAGCGUGGGUCAACCGCCCAAUCAAGCAGAGGUGACUUAGUGAUGGGGUGACCGCGUACCUUUUGUAUAAUGGGUCAGCGACUUAAUGUUAGUAGCAAGGUUAACCGCAUAGGGGAGUCGUAGGGAAACCGAGUCUUAACUGGGCGUACAGUUGCUAGCAUUAGACCCGAAACCGAGUGAUCUAGCCAUGGGCAGGUUGAAGGUUGAGUAACAUCAACUGGAGGACCGAACUCACUAACGUUGAAAAGUUAGGAGAUGACCUGUGGCUAGGGGUGAAAGGCCAAUCAAACUCGGAGAUAGCUGGUU